rnacentral:lncRNA from 1 species
GAGGGGAAUGUCAGCCAAAGGCUUCAGGUUGGUGGUCCAAGAGUGAAAGGAGAAACCAAGGAAAAGGAUGGCCCCCUGGAGGAGCGUUCCUGCCCAGAUGAGGUCUGUCAGAGCAGGUGGAAGCUGGGCUGGGCUGCCUGAGCAUGGGUCUGUCCUGGGUCAUGGCUCAGUGCUGCAGCUGCAUCCUUCCUGGGGACUCUUACUUCUGUGCCCUCUUCACAGAAAGGGGUUUUCUCAGCAGUUAAGCCUCUGCUCUGAGCUCCUUUGGGAACUGGGCUCUGGAGAGGGAAUAGCAUGUCUUGGGCCUGGGCAGGAUGGGGGGUCCACUGGCGCACCUGCCCAGGUGGACACAUACUCUUUCUUCCAUGCAGGUGUGCUCCCCAGAAGGGGGGCCGCUCCCAGCCAGCCCCUGGCACCAGAACGGCCCGACCCAGCAACAGCAGCAGCAACAGCCCAGCCAGUCCAGCCAGCCCCAGGGGCCCCUCCCAGCCCCCGGGCAGCCCUGCCAGCCCCAGCGGCCG